GAUGAACGCUGGCGGCGUGCCUAAUACAUGCAAGUCGAACGCACAGCGAAAGGUGCUUGCACCUUUCAAGUGAGUGGCGAACGGGUGAGUAACACGUGGAUAACCUACCUCAAGGUUGGGGAUAACAUUUGGAAACAGAUGCUAAUACCGAAUAAAACUUCGUAUCGCAUGAUACAAGGUUAAAAGGCGCUACGGCGUCACCUAGAGAUGGA
rnacentral:rRNA from 1 species